rnacentral:ncRNA from 1 species
AAGGACCCGGUGAAAGCCCGGGUGGCUCUUCCGGCCGCCGAUCCGCCGGACCAC